AAAGCGUGUAGGCAGACCUCUUAGGCAAAUCCGGGGGGUCAAUGCUGAGGCGUGAUAACGAGUGGUCUUGUACCGCGAAGUGAUUGAUACCAUGCUUCCAAGAAAAGCCUCUAAGCUUCAGUUACAAGGAGACCGUACCGCAAACCGACACAGGUGGGCAGGAUGAAAAUUCUAAGGCGCUUGAGAGAACUCAGGAGAAGGAACUCGGCAAAUUUGCACCGUAACUUCGGGAAAAGGUGCGCCCUGAUAGGUUGCAGCCCCUCGCGGGUGAAGGCUGAAAGGGUUGCAGUGAAAUGGUGGCUGCGACUGUUUAAUAAAAACACAGCACUCUGCAAACACGAAAGUGGACGUAUAGGGUGUGACGCCUGCCCGGUGCCGGAAGGUUAAGUGAUGGGGUGCAAGCUCUUGAUCGAAGCCCCGGUAAACGGCGGCCGUAACAAUAACGGUCCUAAGGUAGCGAAAUUCCUUGUCGGGUAAGUUCCGACCUGCACGAAUGGCGUAACGAUGGCCACACUGUCUCCUCCUGAGACUCAGCGAAGUUGAAGUGGUUGUGAAGAUGCAAUCUCCCCGCGGUUAGACGGAAAGACCCCAUGAACCUUUACUGUAGCUUUGCAUUGGACUUUGAACCGACUUGUUAGGAUAGGUGGGAGGCUGUGAAGCCGGGACGCUAGUUCUGGUGGAGCCAACCUUGAAAUACCACCCUGGUUUGUUUGAGGUUCUAACCACGGCCCGUGAAUCCGGGUCUGGGACCGUGCAUGGUAGGCAGUUUGACUGGGGCGGUCUCCUCCUAAAGUGUAACGGAGGAGUACGAAGGUACGCUAGGUACGGUCGGACAUCGUGCUAAUAGUGCAAUGGCAAAAGCGUGCUUGACUGCGAGACCCACACGUCGAGCAGGUACGAAAGUAGGUCAUAGUGAUCCGGUGGUUCUGUAUGGAAGGGCCAUCGCUCAACGGAUAAAAGGUACUCUGGGGAUAACAGGCUAAUACCGCCCAAGAGUUCAUAUCGACGGCGGUGUUUGGCACCUCGAUGUCGGCUCAUCACAUCCUGGGGCUGUAGUCGGUCCCAAGGGUAUGGCUGUUCGCCAUUUAAAGUGGUACGUGAGCUGGGUUUAAAACGUCGUGAGACAGUUUGGUCCCUAUCUGCCGUGGGCGCUGGAAAUUUGAAGGGGCUGCUCCUAGUACGAGAGGACCGGAGUGGACGAACCUCUGGUGUACCGGUUAUGACGCCAGUCGUAUUGCCGGGUAGCUGAGUUCGGAAGAGAUAAACGCUGAAAGCAUCUAAGCGUGAAACUCGCCUUAAGAUGAGAUUUCCCUGGGGACUUGAUCCCCCUGAAGGGUCGUGGUAGACCACCACGUUGAUAGGCUGGGUGUGGAAGCGCAGCAAUGCGUUAAGCUAACCAGUACUAAUUGCCCGUGAGGCUUGAUC
rnacentral:rRNA from 1 species